CCUCCCUCACGCAGCGCGCCUGCGUGGUGUUGGGGCGUUCUGCGGCCAGGCCUGCGCCUAGCAGGCCUCCGCAGCCCCCGAAAGCCAGUGGCGGGCCGGCAGCGGGCUCCGAGCGCAGUAAGCAGCAGUGCCCUCGCUCUGGACGCCUCCGCCUGCGCCCUGCCCCAAAUGACCGGCAGACGCAAGUCUGCCCCUCCUUCUCAAGG
rnacentral:misc_RNA from 1 species